rnacentral:rRNA from 1 species
AUUGAACGCUGGCGGCAGGCCUAACACAUGCAAGUCGAGCGGAUGAAGGGAGCUUGCUCCUGGAUUCAGCGGCGGACGGGUGAGUAAUGCCUAGGAAUCUGCCUGGUAGUGGGGGAUAACGUCCGGAAACGGGCGCUAAUACCGCAUACGUCCUGAGGGAGAAAGUGGGUGAUCUUCGGACCUCACGCUAUCAGAUGAGCCUAGGUCGGAUUAGCUAGUUGGUGGGGUAAAGGCCUACCAAGGCGACGAUCCGUAACUGGUCUGAGAGGAUGAUCAGUCACACUGGAACUGGGACACGCUCCAGACUCCUACGGGAGGCAGCAGUGGGGAAUAUUGGACAAUGGGCGAAAGCCUGAUCCAGCCAUGCCGCGUGUGUGAAGAAGGUCUUCGGAUUGUAAAGCACUUUAAGUUGGGAGGAAGGGCAGUAAGUUAAUACCUUGCUGUUUUGACGUUACCAACAGAAUAAGCACCGGCUAACUUCGUG